rnacentral:rRNA from 1 species
GCGCGAAACCUCUGCAAUAGGCGAAAGCCUGACAGGGUUACUCUGAGUGACUUUCGCUAAGAAAGUCUUUUGACACCUCUAAAAAUGGUGUAGAAUAAGGGGUGGGCAAGUCUGGUGUCAGCCGCCGCGGUAAUACCAGCACCCCGAGUGGUCGGGACGAUUAUUGGGCCUAAAGCAUCCGUAGCCGGUUUUACAAGUCCUCCGUUAAAUCCAGCUGCUUAACAGAUGGGCUGCGGAGGAUACUAUAAGACUAGGAGGCAGGAGAGGCAAGCGGUACUCAGUGGGUAGGGGUAAAAUCCGUUGAUCCAUUGAAGACCACCAGUGGCGAAGGCGGCUUGCCAGAAUGCGCUCGACGGUGAGGGAUGAAAGCUGGGGGAGCAAACCGGAUUAGAUACCCGGGUAGUCCCAGCUGUAAACGAUGCAGACUCGGUGAUGGACUAGCUUUA